UAGUAACGGCGAGUGAAGCGGUAACAGCUCAAAUUUGAAAUCUGGCUCCCUGCGGAGUCCGAGUUGUAAUUUGUAGAAGAUGCUUUGGGUGCUYGGCCCGGUCUAAGUUCCUUGGAACAGGACGUCGUAGAGGGUGAGAAUCCCGUAUGCGGCCGGKGUSGGYGCCCGUGUAAAGCUCUUUCGACGAGUCGAGUUGUUUGGGAAUGCAGCUCAAAAUGGGUGGUAAAUUUCAUCUAAAGCUAAAUAUGGGCCAGAGACCGAUAGCGCACAAGUAGAGUGAUCGAAAGAUGAAAAGCACUUUGGAAAGAGAGUUAAACAGUACGUGAAAUUGUUGAAAGGGAAGCGCUUGCAACCAGACUUGGGCGUCGCUGAUCAUCCAAAGACUCUCUUUGGUGCACUCGACGACGCACAGGCCAGCAUCGGUUGGAGUGGUGGGAGAAAGGUUGCCGGAACGUGGCUCUUUUCGGAGAGUGUUAUAGCCGGCGACGCAAUACCGCCUACCCUGACCGAGGACCGCGCUUCGGCUAGGAUGCUGGCGUAAUGGUUGUAAGCGACCCGUCUUGAAACACGGACCAAGGAGUCUAACAUCUAUGCGAGUGUUUGGG
rnacentral:rRNA from 1 species